AGAGCUGGUCCUUUGGUCAAGCAGUUCUGUGAGCUGGCACUUUUCUGGGAAGGUCCGGAGCUGGCCUUCAGGACACCGAAGAGGAUGCCUCUCCCGGAUGGGCUAGGCGGCUGGGGGGACCAUGUUCUGUGGCACUGUAGAAAAAGGAGAGACAGAUCCAGACCCUGUUUGAACAGCUGGGAUCAGAAGGAUAUGCACAGAUGACACCAUGGGGCAGAAAGAGACAGAGAUGAACCCAGCGAUUCCAUGGCACAGAGAGACAGAAAGGCAGCAGCAAGGGCAGAGAGAAAGGGGGCCAAGAGAAGCAUCCACCAGAGGAUGCUUCCAAUCAGAUCCACCUGGGGUAUAGGAAAUAUAUAAAUACAAGGA